CCUCUACUUUAAGUAGAAGUACUUUUACUGACUUUGUAGAAGUGCUUCUGCUUGAAGUGGAGG
rnacentral:miRNA from 1 species